rnacentral:rRNA from 1 species
CCUACGGGUGGCAGCAGUGAGGAAUAUUGCGCAAUAGGCGAAAGCCUGACGCAGCGACGCCGCGUGCGGGAUGAAGGUCUUCGGAUCGUAAACCUCUGUCAGCAGGGAAGAACGGUCACUGUGCUAAUCAGCAGUGAAUUGACGGUACCUGCAAAGGAAGCACCGGCUAACUCCGUGCCAGCAGCCGCGGUAAUACGGAGGGUGCGUGCGUUAAUCGGAAUUACUGGGCGUAAAGCGCUCGUAGGCGGGAUGUCAAGUCAAGGGUGAAAUCCCCGCGCUCAACGUGGGAACUGCCUUUGAAACUGGCAAGCUGGAGUGUGUGAGAGGAUAGUGGAAUUCCAGGUGUAGGAGUGAAAUCCGUAGAUAUCUGGAAGAACAUCAGUGGCGAAGGCGACUAUCUGGCACAUAACUGACGCUGAGGAGCGAAAGCGUGGGUAGCAAACAGGAUUAGAUACCCGGGUAGUC